CCCCGGCGAGGGGAGUGAAAUAGAACCUGAAACCUUGUGCUUACAAGCAGUCGGAGCAGACUUGUUCUGUGACGGCGUACCUUUUGUAUAAUGGGUCAACGACUUAAUUUCAGUAGCAAGCUUAACCAUAUAGGGUAGGCGUAGGGAAACCGAGUCUUAAUAGGGCGCUCAGUUGCUGGAAUUAGACCCGAAACCGGGUGAUCUAUCCAUGGCCAGUGUGAAGGUCGAGUAACAUCGACUGGAGGCGCGAACCCACUUAUGUUGAAAAAUGAGGGGAUGAGCUGUGGAUAGGAGUGAAAGGCUAAUCAAACCCGGAGAUAGCUGGUUCUCUUCGAAAACUAUUUAGGUAGUGCCUCGUGUAUUACUGUAGGGGGUAGAGCACUGUUUCGGCUAGGGGGUCAUCCCGACUUACCAAACCGAUGCAAACUCCGAAUACCUACAAGUAUGAGCACGGGAGACAGACUGCGGGUGCUAACGUCCGUAGUCGAGAGGGAAACAACCCAGACUGUCAGCUAAGGUCCCUAAUUAUGAUUAAGUGGGAAACAAUGUGGGAAGGCACAAACAGCUAGGAAGUUGGCUUAGAAGCAGCCAUCUUUUAAAGAAAGCGUAAUAGCUCACUAGUCGAGUCGGCCUGCGUGGAAGAUAUAACGGGGCUAAAUCAUAAACCGAAGCUACAGAUCUUAAAUUUAUUUAAGAUGGUAGAAGAGCGUUCUGUAAGCGGAUGAAGGUGAGCUGAGAGGCGAGCUGGACGUAUCAGAAGUGCGAAUGUUGACAUGAGUAACGAUCAAAGAGGUGAAAAACCUCUUCGCCGAAAAACCAAGGGUUCCUGUCCAACGCUAAUCGUGGCAGGGUGAGGCGGCCCCUAAGGCGAGGGCGAAAGCCGUAGUCGAUGGGAAACAGGUUAAUAUUCCUGUACUUUUUAUAACUGCGAUGGGGUGACGGAGAAGGUUAGGCUAGCACGGCGACGGUUGUCCGUGUUCAAGGUUGUAGGCUGGUGUUCUAGGUAAAUCCGGAACGCCAUAUAGGCUGAGGACUGAUAACGACCACUCUACGAGUGGGAAGUAGCUGAUACCAUGCUUCCAGGAAAAACCUCUAAGCUUCAGGUUAUAAGAAACCGUACCCUAAACCGACACAGGUGGUUAGGUCGAGUAGACCAAGGUGUUUGAGAGAACUAUGGUGAAGGAACUAGGCAAAAUAGCACCGUAACUUCGGGAGAAGGUGCGCUACGUUUGGUGAUGGGACUUGCUCCUUGAGCUAAACGUAGUCGAAGAUACCAGGUGGCUGCGACUGUUUACUAAAAACAUAGCACUCUGCAAACUCGUAAGAGGAAGUAUAGGGUGUGACGCCUGCCCGGUGCCGGAAGGUUAAUUGAUGGGGUUAGCGUAAGCGAAGCUCUUGAUCGAAGCCCCGGUAAACGGCGGCCGUAACUAUAACGGUCCUAAGGUAGCGAAAUUCCUUGUCGGGUAAGUUCCGACCUGCACGAAUGGCGUAACGAUGGCCACACUGUCUCCACCAUAGACUCAGUGAAAUUGAAAUCGCUGUUAAGAUGCAGUGUACCCGCAGCUAGACGGAAAGACCCCGUGCACCUUUACUAUAGGUUUACACUGGACUUUGACCUUACUUGUGUAGGAUAGGUGGGAGACUUUGAAGCUGAGACGCCAGUCUUAGUGGAGUCAUCCUUGAAAUACCACCCUUGUAAGAUUGAAGUUCUAACCUAGGUCCAUUAUCUGGAUCAGGGACAGUGUAUGCUGGGUAGUUUGACUGGGGCGGUCUCCUCCUAAAGAGUAACGGAGGAGUACGAAGGUAUCCUUAUCACGGUCGGACAUCGUGAGGUAAGUAUAAAGGCAAAAGGAUGCUUGACUGCGAGAUCGACGGAUCGAGCAGGUAGGAAACUAGGUCUUAGUGAUCCGGUGGUUCUGAAUGGAAGGGCCAUCGCUCAACGGAUAAAAGGUACGCCGGGGAUAACAGGCUGAUACCGCCCAAGAGUUCAUAUCGACGGCGGUGUUUGGCACCUCGAUGUCGGCUCAUCACAUCCUGGGGCUGGAGCA
rnacentral:rRNA from 1 species